UACAGAGGUCUCAAGCGUUGUUCGGAUUCAUUGGGCGUAAAGGGCGCGUAGGCGGCGUGGUAAGUCACUUGUGAAAUCUCUGAGCUUAACUCAGAACGGCCAAGUGAUACUGCUGUGCUAGAGUGCAGAAGGGGCAAUCGGAAUUCUUGGUGUAGCGGUGAAAUGCGUAGAUAUCAAGAGGAACACCUGAGGUGAAGACGGGUUGCUGGGCUGACACUGACGCUGAUGCGCGAAAGCUAGGGGAGCAAACGGG
rnacentral:rRNA from 1 species